rnacentral:rRNA from 1 species
UACGUAGGGCGCAAGCGUUGUCCGGAAUUAUUGGGCGUAAAGAGCUCGUAGGCGGUCUGUCGCGUCGGCUGUGAAAGCCCGGGGCUCAACCCCGGGUCUGCAGUCGAUACGGGCAGGCUAGAGUGCGGUAGGGGAGACUGGAAUUCCUGGUGUAGCGGUGAAAUGCGCAGAUAUCAGGAGGAACACCGGUGGCGAAGGCGGGUCUCUGGGCCGUAACUGACGCUGAGGAGCGAAAGCGUGGGAGCGAACGGG